CCUAACAAGAUAAUCCAGCAACUUUCUUAAGGUCUUCAAAUCCGAAACCAGUUGCUUUGUCUUCUUCCCCAAGAUAUGCCAAAUGGGAUCCAACUGCCUUCUCACAAUCUCAUCAAACGACUUAAACAACCCAUUCUCUACCGUCAAAUCGUCGACGUCCACUUUAUUGGUCUUUCUCAUCUCUUUCAAACACGCAUCCAUAACUUCCACAAUCGCCUUCUGUAUCCCCAACAUGUACUUAGUCAUCGGCACCCUCACAUCAACCACCUCCGGCGGGGCCCUCUCCAGCUCCUCGGAUACGUAAACCUGAAACCUCGGCCAAAGGUGCAGUUUUUUUAUAUAAAGAGACUUCAUUAUCCGUUCAGUC
rnacentral:misc_RNA from 1 species